rnacentral:lncRNA from 1 species
UCCGAUAAACCUCAGAAACCACUCAGCUCAUCCAAACGCCCCUAUACUUCGUCUCCUCCAUAUCAAAACCCUAAUCUGCCAUUGUUACCGGCGUUCCAGCUCCAUAUCACACCAAAUUCUCACCAUCCACUUUCCAUACUCCCUACAACAUUAAGUCGUUUCCAGUCUCCCUCAAAUCAACACAUCUUCACUUUAAGUCUCAAUCAAAAAAUUAGAAAGUAAACAACGUUCUUAUUCGUAUGCUUUCAAGGCUCAACUUGACUCAGAAAUUUCGUUAGCCGAUUGUUCUUGCUUAGAAUAAUAGAUUAAUGAUAAUUUUGACAUGUUUCGAGAUUUUCUAAGUGCCUGAACAGACCAAGAACAUUUGGCCAAUCUCAUCGCAUUCAUCGAUCUAUUACGACUAAGGCCAGUAAUAUUCCUUCCUUCAUUCUUUUCUUCAUGUCUUUUUCCUAUUUUCUUUUCUCUGGUUCUUGUAUAUUAAUGUGAUUCGAAUUAGUCUUAGUUUAAUUAAAAUCAGUAGUUCUAGCUUUUUAGUUGUGUAAUUAGGAUUAGUACCUUAUUUGAUUUUAUUUUUGUUUAGUUUGGUUUUAUUUGGGAUUAGUUUGGCUUAGUCGUUAAUUUCAUCAAAGAUUUAAUGAAUCAGUUUCUUGCUCCCUUAUUCACUUGAAGGUUUGGGCUUUAGUAUAUAGGCCCAAGGUUGGCUAAGCUAAAAUGAAAAUGAUAAAAUAUGCAAAGAGCAAAAUCUGAAAACUUUAAUGAUACCCUAUUUCCCCUGUAUAAAAGCCCCAAUAGCUAAAUUUUCUAAGGAGGAGGAGAUUGGAGAAAAGUGAAAAUGGUUGAAUACUCUAAAAUUCCUUGCAUUUUCUGGUUGAAAAUUACUAAAUUUAGGCUUAGUUUUGGUUGUGGAUUCUUUUGCAUAGUUGAAAAUUUGUGAAACCUCCAAAUUGUUCAUCUGAUGGCUUAAUCUGUGAUUUCGAAAUGGUUCUAGAUUUCUCUGAUGUUUCCUUGGCUUUCCCUGAGCUGAUUUCACUAUUUUAUUCGCUAGGUUUGGGCUAACUUCUGCUAUUUGAUACUGUUGAUCCUUCGCUUCUUAUUUCCUUUCAUUUUCAGGUAUUUGUCAACACCAUGGACAUCACCUGAAUGUAAUUUGAAGCUUGAAUCUGAAAUCUGAUCAAAUCUGAUGAUUGUUGUUAUUGAAGUUUCAUUUCUUUCUCUUUCAAUUUCCUGCACAAACUAUAUUACUUAGCUUAGAAAGAUCUUGAUUAAGUAUAUUUAUCAGCGAAUAGGAUAUAACUAAAUAUCUAAUAAGCUAAUUCCUGUUAGAUGUGUCUUUUAAGUUCUUUAUUUUAAUUUAGUCUUGGUCUGAAAUAUGAAACAAAUUAUGGUUUAGAUUUUUGGAUUUUAUUAGUUGGAGCCUAUUGUUGUGUAUAAAAGGGACUUUUAAAGUUAUUUGCAAAGGAUAUUUUCCUGCAAAGUUCCAGUCGUAUGAUAGCGUAGUUGAAAUCAAUGCAUUAUUUCGAGUAUAUUUCUGAUCUUAGGUUAUGGUAUACAACCUCUCUUUGGAAUCUAAAUUAGUUAAUGCUUGUUGUUUUUAUUUUUGACCACAGAAUACUGUUGGUAAGAACUGUGAUGGUAUUAGAUGAUAGAUAGAAAAAAUGAAUUGAUGUUUGGAUUGUAACUCCUGCACAAAAAGUGAUGAUAGGUGUACUCCAAUUAGUAAUUAUUUGAUUUUCUUAAAGCAGUAUGAUUUGUAAAGUUUAAUGCAAACACCUGACGUUCUGUGUUAUGCAUGGACUCGAAUUGGGGUCUUAAUGUCUGUUGAAACUGGUCUACUUUUGGAUUUGGGCUCCCUCCUAGGCCCGAUGUGAACUGUUAUGGAAUUGUUGUUUGGAUAGCCUUACGUUUGGCAAGCUGUUGGGCCUCAUGUUAGGCCCACACAUUAUCUCUGAAUCAUCAUCCCCUUUCCUUUUAAAAAAAAG